rnacentral:rRNA from 1 species
UACGGAGGGUGCGAGCGUUGUCCGGAAUCACUGGGCGUAAAGGGUGCGUAGGCGGGUCUUUAAGUCAGGGGUGAAAUCCUGGAGCUCAACUCCAGAACUGCCUUUGAUACUGAGGAUCUUGAGUUCGGGAGAGGUGAGUGGAACUGCGAGUGUAGAGGUGAAAUUCGUAGAUAUUCGCAAGAACACCGGUGGCGAAGGCGGCCAACUGGACCAUUACUGACGCUAGGCGCGAAAGCGUGGGAGCA